rnacentral:rRNA from 1 species
AACCUUUACACUGCACGACAGUGCGAUAGGGGGACUCCGAGUGCGAGGGCAUAUAGUCCUCGCUUUUCUGUACCGUAAGGAGGUACAGGAACAAGUGCUGGGCAAGACCGGUGCCAGCCGCCGCGGUAAUACCGGCAGCACAAGUGAUGGCCGAUCUUAUUGGGCCUAAAGCGUUCGUAGCCUGCCGGACAAGUUCGUUGGGAAAUCCACGCGCUCAACGCGUGGGCGUCCAGCGAAAACUGUCUGGCUUGGGGCCGGAAGACUCGAGGGGUACGUCCGGGGUAGGAGUGAAAUCCCGUAAUCCUGGACGGACCGCCGAUGGCGAAAGCACCUCGAGAGGACGGACCCGACGGUGAGGGACGAAAGCCAGGGUCUCGAACCGGAUUAGAUACCCGGGUAGUCCUGGCCGUAAACGAUGUUCGCUAGGUGUGGCGCAGGCUACGAGCCUGCGCUGUGCCGUAGGGAAGCCGUGAAGCGAACCGCCUGGGAAGUACGUCUGCAAGGAUGAAACUUAA